GCUUCCGGAACUUCCACAAUAGUGGAAUUCAUCUUCCAUAGAAAUGAGUCCGCUUCCGUUUCGGAUGCCAAAGCCAAUGACCGGCAGGGAGCUUCAAGGAAUGUCUGUGCCUCGUGCAUGUGUCUGCUGCCCACGGAGGACAGAAGAGGGCAUCAGAUUCUCUGGAACUGGAGUUAUGUAUGGUUGUGAGCUGCCAUGUGGUUACUGGGAGAAAACGCAGGUCCUCUGGAAGAGCAGCCAGUGCCCUUAACUACCAUCACCCCAGACAAAGAGGAAAGAACUUAGACAUGUAAGAGAGGGACAUGGGAAUGGACUUUUCAUGUGUUGCUAACCUAGGCAUCACAUUCUGACUUUAUCUCCCCAGA